rnacentral:tRNA from 1 species
UAGCUCAGUCAGUUGAGCGUGGCGCUAACAACACCAAGGUCGCGGGUUCAAUUCCCGU